rnacentral:misc_RNA from 1 species
GAUGAAGAACGCAGCGAAAUGCGAUAAGUAAUGUGAAUUGCAGAAUUCAGUGAAUCAUCGAAUCUUUGAACGCACAUUGCGCGCCUUGGUAUUCCGAGGGGCAUGCCUGUUCGAGCGUCAUUAUAACCCCUCAAGCUCAGCUUGGUGUUGGGGCCUGCUGCACUGGCAGCCCUUAAAAUCAGUGGCGGCGCCAUCUGGCUCUAAGCGUAGUAAUUCUUCUCGCUAUGGAGUCCUGGUGGAUGCUUGCCAUCAACCCCCAAUUUUUCUAUGGUUGACCUCGGAUCAGGUAGGGAUACCCGCUGAACUUAAGCAUAUCAAUAAGCGGAGGA